ensembl:lncRNA
CCCCACUUCUUGGGGCCUUCUCUCACUGAGGCCAGACCAGGCAGUCCUCUGCUGUAUAUAUGUGUGUUAGGAGCUUGUUGCAGACAUGUGAUUGGCUGCCCUUUGGAUGACCCGUGCCUGAGAAAGGCACUGGAGGAAGAUAGCAGAGCCCCGUUGAAUGGCUGUCCCUAUGCGUGAGGCAUGUUGAGACCCAGACGGGGAGCUGAGUGCAUCCGUGGGACUGGAUCCUGGAGUGGCUGAUAGAGAAAGCAUGGUCUCUUUUACCUCUGUGUCCCCCACAGAAAACAUUGCCCCUGAGAAGUCAGGUAAGACGCCGAAGAACAUUCUGGGGAGCUGAUGCACAAAUACGGUUAGGAUACUACUGCUGUGUGGUAUGUGAGUUGAGGGAAGGGUCAUCUUAUACACCUCGCUGAAAUCCCUCAUUUGGGGUGCAGUUACCCACCUUAUAAAUCAGAAUUUAUAGAACAAACACCGUAACCCUGAGCGGAGGAGACCAUGUAUGAAGGUGGUGCUGACUCCUGUGUCUUAGGAGGUACCGGGCAGCAGGGCAGGACCACCUUCUGGUGGUUCUCAACCUGUGGGUCAUGACCCCUGUGGAGGUCAAAUGAUCCUUUCAAAGGAGUCGCCUAAGACUGUUUACAGUCUGAUUCAUAACUGUAUCGAAAUUAUGGUAAUGAAGUAGCAACGAAAAUAAUUUUACGGUCAGAGGUCAUCACAACACGAGAAACCACAUUAAAGGGUCCCGGCAUUAGGGAGGUUGAGAACCGUUGUCCUAGAUCCUUAUUUCCAGAGGAAAACUGAGUCUAAGAGGGUCACUGGGCCCACGUCAUAAUCAUAGUUCCCAAAAGCUCACCAGGAACUCUGCCUCUUCUGAGCCACCUUAGCUGGCUGCCGCCCCCAAGGCUGGAUCCCAUGUAGCAGAAUAUCGAUCCCAUCUCUUUAAACCCUCCUAUCUUUUACAAAGCCAGGGAACUUGCCAGACCCACGCGUUCACCUGCUCACACAGUGCCAGUCUUCCCAGGGGUCAUUUACUUUAAAUCAACACGGUUUUGUGAACCCUGUAUUUCAAUAUAAUUUUUAAAAAGUCGAACACUUAUUGUAAAUGACCUAGGUUGGAGCUCGCUGCUGAGAAACAUCCUAAAGUAAAAUUUUUUGCGGGGUGCGGGGGUUGGUUUGGUUUUAAUGGGGAGCCCUUUUGAUAAUGUACCAAACAGUUACUGAUUUUUAUAAGUCUAAUUUUCUUAGGGCAAAAUACAAUUAUAAGAAAAUUACAAGAAAACUUUCACCCAUAAAACCCCAAACUCGGCUCAGGUUAUUAAAAUAAAAUUCCAGUAUCAGCAGCCGACUGUUGCUGUGGCUUGACAAGAGUACAAGUUGGGCAACCACACGAUGGAUCAGGAAACACAUCCAUUUUUUGGCGUUGGAGAUAUAGCUCAGUGGUCUAGUGCUUGCCUGGCAUGCAUGAAGCUCAGGAUUCAGUCCCCAGCACUGCACGUAAGAAGCAUGUUAGGACAAGGCCAGCUCACUGUUAGCCAGCGCUGUUACUCUUCUGUAUCUUCAUGCCUAAGUCCUGAGUAAGUGGUGCCUUCACUUCCUCCAUGGAGAUGAGCACCAGGGCUGCCAGCAUGGACUGAGAGAAAGAGGGCUUUGGAUUCUUUGCACUGUGAGUGCCACUGCUCAUGGUGUCUGAUGCUGGCUACCGACUGUCCUGAACAUUGUGCCUGGCCACAUUUGGAGAUGCGUGAGAGGAACAGGGUCUCACCUCUCCCCUUGGCUAACUCUUUUUUCUUUGUGAGUUCCCUUGGCCAGUCUGACCCUCCUUGUUGUGAGGUGCUGUGGGAACUGCUUUUCCCUCCCUUAGGACUAAGCUUGGCACCUUAGAGGAAGCUAAGUGGUGCACAGCUCUCAGCCUGUGA